rnacentral:rRNA from 1 species
CCUACGGGAGGCAGCAGUGAGGAAUAUUGGUCAAUGGGCGCGAGCCUGAACCAGCCAAGUCGCGUGAAGGAAGAAGGUCCUUAGUGUUGUAAACUUCUUUUAUCGGGGAACAAAGUCGGAGACGCGUCUCCUGAUGAAUGUACCCUAAGAACAAGCAUCGGCUAACUCCGUGCCAGCAGCCGCGGUAAUACGGAGGAUGCGAGCGUUAUCCGGAUUUAUUGGGUUUAAAGGGUGCGUAGGUGGGUUGUUAAGUUAGGUGUGAAAGUUUCGGGCUCAACCCCAGAACUGCAGUUGAUACUGGUAUUCUUGAGUUGGAGAGAGGUAGGCGGAAUUCGUGGUGUAGCGGUGAAAUGCUUAGAUAUCACGAAGAACUCCGAUUGCGAAGGCAGCAUACUGG